CAUGUAGGCGGGGAUACAAGUCAGAUGUGAAAUCCUGUGGCUCAACCACAGACGUGCAUCUGAAACUGUAUCUCUUGAGUGUUGGAGAGGAAAGCGGAAUUCCUAGUGUAGCGGUGAAAUGCGUAGAUAUUAGGAGGAACACCGGUGGCGAAGGCGGCUUUCUGGACAAUAACUGACGCUGAGAUGCGAAAGCGUGGGGAGCAAACAGGAUUAGAUACCCUGGUAGUCC
rnacentral:rRNA from 1 species